GCCAGGCACGGUGGCACAUGCCUGUAAUCCCAGCGACUUGGGAGGCUGAGACAGGAGGAUCGCAAGUUCAAAGCCAGCCAGCCUCAGGACAAAAGCAAGGUGGUAAGCAACUCAGUGAGACCCGGUCUGUA
rnacentral:sRNA from 1 species